rnacentral:rRNA from 1 species
AGGGAAUCUUGGACAAUGGGCGAAAGCCUGAUCCAGCCAUGCCGCGUGAGUGAUGAAGGCCUUAGGGUUGUAAAGCUCUUUCGCCAGGGAAGAUAAUGACGGUACCUGGAUAAGAAGCCCCGGCAAACUUCGUGCCAGCAGCCGCGGUAAUACGAAGGGGGCUAGCGUUGUUCGGAAUUACUGGGCGUAAAGCGCACGUAGGCGGUUUUCCAAGUUGGAGGUGAAAUCCCUGGGUUCAACCCGGGAACUGCCUCCAAAACUGGAUGACUCGAGUCCGAGAGAGGUGAGUGGAAUUUCCAGUGUAGAGGUGAAAUUCGUAGAUAUUGGAAAGAACACCGGUGGCGAAGGCGGCUCACUGGCUCGGUACUGACGCUGAGGUGCGACAGCGUGGGGAGCAAACA